rnacentral:rRNA from 1 species
CAGCAGUGAGGAAUAUUGGUCAAUGGACGAGAGUCUGAACCAGCCAAGUAGCGUGAAGGAUGACUGCCCUAUGGGUUGUAAACUUCUUUUAUACGGGAAUAAAGUGAGCCACGUGUGGCUUUUUGUAUGUACCGUAUGAAUAAGGAUCGGCUAACUCCGUGCCAGCAGCCGCGGUAAUACGGAGGAUCCGAGCGUUAUCCGGAUUUAUUGGGUUUAAAGGGAGCGUAGAUGGAUGUUUAAGUCAGUUGUGAAAGUUUGCGGCUCAACCGUAAAAUUGCAGUUGAUACUGGAUAUCUUGAGUGCAGUUGAGGCAGGCGGAAUUCGUGGUGUAGCGGUGAAAUGCUUAGAUAUCACGAAGAACUCCGAUUGCGAAGGCAGCUUACUGGACUGUAACUGACGCUGAUGCUCGAAAGUGUGGGUAUCAAACAGGAUUAGAUACCCUGGUAGUCCACACAGUAAACGAUGAAUACUCGCUGUUUGCGAUAUACAGCAAGCGGCCAAGCGAAAGCGUUAAGUAUUCCACCUGGGGAGUACGCCGGCAACGGUGAAACUCAAAGGAAUUGACGGGGGCCCGCACAAGCGGAGGAACAUGUGGUUUAAUUCGAUGAUACGCGAGGAACCUUACCCGGGCUUGAACUGCAGGAGAACGAUUCAGAGAUGAUGAGGUCCUUCGGGACUCCUGUGGAGGUGCUGCAUGGUUGUCGUCAGCUCGUGCCGUGAGGUGUCGGCUUAAGUGCCAUAACGAGCGCAACCCUUGUUGUCAGUUACUAACAGGUUCCGCUGAGGACUCUGACAAGACUGCCAUCGUAAGAUGUGAGGAAGGUGGGGAUGACGUCAAAUCAGCACGGCCCUUACGUCCGGGGCUACACACGUGUUACAAUGGGGGGUACAGAGGGCCGCUACCACGCGAGUGGAUGCCAAUCCCCAAAACCUCUCUCAGUUCGGACUGGAGUCUGCAACCCGACUCCACGAAGCUGGAUUCGCUAGUAAUCGCGCAUCAGCCACGGCGCGGUGAAUACGUUCCCGGGCCUUGUACACACCGCCCGUCAAGCCAUGGGAGCUUGGAGUGCCUGAAGUCCGUGACCGCGAGGAGCGGCCAAGGGUAAGACAAGUGACUGGGGCUAAGUCGUAACAAGGUAGCCGUACCGGAAGGUGCGGCUG